rnacentral:tRNA from 1 species
GGUAAGGUGGCCGAGUGCUUAGGCGGCGGAUUGUAGCUCCGAGAAUAGAGGUUUGAAUCCUCUCCGUACCA